UAGGCAUGUUUCAACAUGCCUGGCUAAUUUUUAAAAAAAUGACAGUGUCUUGUCAUAUUGCCCAAGCUCAUCUCAAACUCCUGGGCUCAAGUGAUCCUCCUGCCUUGGCCUUUGAAAGUGUUGGGAUUAUAGGCAUGAGCCACUGUGCCAGGCAGGAAGUAGGGUGUGAGAAUAAAUUUAGUACUAGAUAUUUUUAAGAAGGGGGAAUUGUUAAACAUUUACAAAGCCUACCAUUUACCAGAUCCCGUCUUAGGUAUUUUAUGCUGUUACAUGUAUAUCAUGAUGUUGGGAUAGAUCCAACUAGACUGUGACUCCUAGAAUGUUUAUUAGGAAUUGCCUGAAACUGCAACUUGCAAAUCAGAUGGUUUCUUUCUAGUCGACUAUAAGCCCCUUAAAGGCAAGCCCAUGUUUUAUACAAAUUCACUAUCUCCACAGCUCCUGGAAUAGUGCUUCAGAAGACCAUGAGAGAUACCUGUUAAAUAGCACUUGGAAAGUGUAUGCACGUAGUAGGCCCUUAAUCAUGGUGAUGGAUGAACGAGAACCCCAGGAAGCACAGGGAUCUGCUUGAAUCUAAAAGGUGUCAUAGAAGAGACAUGUCCUGGGCGUCAAAGGAACCCCAAGGAGACUGCACCCUAGGACCGGUGGGAAGUGGGCCUGUGAUGACUUCCAGGAGGACGUGCUUUGGGAAUCUGGUCUUGAAAGAGGAGAAGUUGGCCAGGCUGGAGGACAAGAUGGACAUUUCAGGUCAAGACAGCCUCAGGACAGCAUUGGAGAAAGGGCCCACGCCCCCAGAUUUGCUCUCUGGUGGCUAUUCAGAGUCAUAG
rnacentral:lncRNA from 1 species